rnacentral:rRNA from 1 species
AUGAGUAUAUUGUGCUGGAACUGUCGUGGGGUGGGUAGACCUGCGACAGUUCGUGAGCUUUGCGACCUUGCAAAGCAAUUUACCCCGGCAGUACUUUGUAUAGUAGAAACACAACUAGACAGAGUACGUGUCGAGAAUUUGAAAACUUCGCUUUGUUAUGAUAAUAGUUAUGCUGUAAGUAGUUCUGGUAGAAGUGGAGGCUUGGGCUUGUUUUGGAAUAAUGAAAUAAAGCUGAAUGUUCAGGGUUACUCUAGGUAUCAUAUUGAUGCACUUAUUGAUGAAACCGGACCAAGCCCGUGGAGGUUAACUUGUGUUUAUGGAGAAGCGUAG